CAGGUUUUGAUGAAUCCCCCCCCCCAUAUCUCUACACUGUAAGGGUCUUUGGGAAUAUCUUCGCAAGUGUCACAGCAUGCCGCACUGCAGACUUCGAGAGGUUUAAUUAUUAAUAGGGAAGACUCUGGAUAAACUCUGGUGAGGUGCUGGGAAUGUUUUCAUGGAAUACCCCCUUUACUGUGUGAAAUGUGAACAGCUGAAAUCACAUAAGUCUAUUAGAUGUCAGACCAGAGAAGAAGACACCACGAUGGCUGCAGGAGGCAGGAUGCAGAAGCUUCAGCUGCAGGGGAAAUACCAGGUGGCUACUGCAAGAGUGGCCCAAGAUAAGUGGCAGCUUGCCAGCAAGCCAGAACAACUCCGUGCAAGGCACCAGGGAUACAGGUAGG